rnacentral:sRNA from 1 species
UCGGACAUCAUCCAGCGGCUGUGGAAGGACUCCGGUAUCCAGGCCUGUUUUGAGCGCGCCUCGGAGUACCAGCUCAACGACUCGGCGGGCUACUACCUCUCCGACCUGGAGCGCCUGGUAACCCCGGGCUACGUGCCCACCGAGCAGGACGUGUUGCGCUCGCGAGUCAAGACCACUGGCAUCAUCGAGACGCAGUUCUCCUUCAAAGACCUCAACUUCCGGAUCCCGCGGCCCCGCAGGAUGUUCGAUGUGGGCGGUCAGCGCUCGGAGCGCAAGAAGUGGAUCCACUGCUUCGAGGGCGUGACCUGCAUCAUCUUCAUCGCGGCGCUG